AUUGAACGCUGGCGGCAGGCCUAACACAUGCAAGUCGAACGAGUGGCGGACGGGUGUGUAAUGUCUGGGAAACUGCCUGAUGGUGGGGGAUAACUACUGGAAACGGUAGCUAAUACCGCAUACCAUCAGAUGUGCCCAGAUGGCAUUGGCUUGUUGGUGGGGUCACGGCUCACCAAGGCGACGAUCCCUAACUGGUCUGAGAGGAUGACCAGCCACACUGAAACUGAGACACGGUCCAGACACUAACGGGAGGCAGCAGUGGGGAAUAUUGCACAAUGGGAGCAAGCCUGAUGCAGCCAUGCCGCGUGGAUGAAGAAGGCCUUGGGGUGGUAAAGUACUUUCAGCGGGGAGGCGUUACCCGCAGAGGAAGCACCGGCUAACUCCGUGCCAGCAGCCGCGGUAAUUC
rnacentral:rRNA from 1 species